UGGAUUGAAUCUAUAAAUUAA
rnacentral:piRNA from 1 species